rnacentral:rRNA from 1 species
GACGAACGCUGGCGGCGUGCUUAACACAUGCAAGUCGAACGGAAAGGCCCCCAUCUUGGUGGGGGUGCUCGAGUGGCGAACGGGUGAGUAACACGUGGGUGAUCUGCCCUGUACUUCGGGAUAAGCUUGGGAAACUGGGUCUAAUACCGGAUAGGACCAUGGUUUAGUGUCUCAUGGUGGAAAGAUUAUUGUUUUGGUGCAGGAUGAGCUCGCGGCCUAUCAGCUUGUUGGUGGGGUAAUGGCCUACCAAGGCGUCGACGGGUAGCCGGCCUGAGAGGGUGGACGGCCACAUUGGGACUGAGAUACGGCCCAGACUCCUACGGGAGGCAGCAGGGGGGAAUAUUGCACAAUGGGCGCAAGCCUGAGGCAGCGACGCCGCGUGGGGGAUGACGGCCGUCGGGUGGUAAACUCCUUUCGUUAGGGACGAAGCCGCACUUUUUUUGGGUGUGGUGACGGUACCUUUGUUAAGAAGCACCGGCUAACUACGUG